rnacentral:rRNA from 1 species
UACAGAGGUCUCAAAGCGUUUGUUCGGAUUCAUUGGGCGUAAAGGGUGCGUAGGCGGCGCGGUAAGUCGGGUGUGAAAUCUCGGAGCUUAACUCCGAAACUGCAUUCGAUACUGCCGUGCUUGAGGACUGGAGAGGAGACUGGAAUUUACGGUGUAGCGGUGAAAUGCGUAGAUAUCUGGAGGAACACCGGUGGCGAAGGCGGCAUCCUGGACCAACACUGACACUGAGGAGCGAAAGCCAGGGGAGCAAACGGG